rnacentral:rRNA from 1 species
UACGUAGGGUGCAAGCGUUGUCCGGAAUUACUGGGCGUAAAGGGCUCGUAGGCGGUUUGUCGCGUCGGGAGUGAAAUCCACUGGCUUAACUGGUGGCUUGCUUUCGAUACGGGCAGACUGGAGGUAUGCAGGGGAGAACGGAAUUCCUGGUGUAGCGGUGAAAUGCGCAGAUAUCAGGAGGAACACCGGUGGCGAAGGCGGUUCUCUGGGCAUGUCCUGACGCUGAGGAGCGAAAGUGUGGGGAGCGAACAGG